rnacentral:rRNA from 1 species
UACGUAGGGUGCGAGCGUUGUCCGGAAUUAUUGGGCGUAAAGAGCUCGUAGGCGGCUUGUCGCGUCGGAUGUGAAAGCCCGGGGCUUAACUCCGGGUCUGCAUUCGAUACGGGCAGGCUAGAGUUCGGUAGGGGAGAUCGGAAUUCCUGGUGUAGCGGUGAAAUGCGCAGAUAUCAGGAGGAACACCGGUGGCGAAGGCGGAUCUCUGGGCCGAUACUGACACUGAGGAGCGAAAGCGUGGGGAGCGAACAGG